rnacentral:misc_RNA from 1 species
GUGAAAUAUGCUCAUUUGAUUUUGAAAAUUUUACAUCAAAGAAUAUCAACUCAUUUUGAUCAGAGUGGGAGACAGCAGCUGUUUCACAUUGACAAGUUCUCAUUUGAGAGAAUUACGAAUAGAAGAACUCACUCGAGACUUCCCUUGAACACUUACAAGCAAAGCCGUGGCAGUGUAACAUUUUAGAUGUUAUCUGUUAUAAGAAUUCUGCAGAUCAGCUCCUAAAUAAUUAUCCAGCAUAGUACUGUUUGUGGAC